CCAGCACUGUCUGGUUUUUUCGGCAAAACUUCAGCGAGCUCUACAGGACUCGUUUCAACUCCGAUUUUUAUGAUCUUUAUAUUGUCUAACUUGUAUCGAUGAGAGGAAUCUCCGCAAGUGGUCAAAAUCAAGAUCUGAGAACUUUGGAAAUUCUGCAACUUCGAACAGAGAGUUGAAAAAACAUGUUUUUUCCGGUGUUCAAACUUCCCUAAUGCUCUAAUACCAAUUUGUUGUGCAUACUGGACCGAAAGCAAAUACAAAUAAAACACAAACAAGCAAAUUUAUAUGGUUCUCCAAAACCGGGUAAGUCCAUGGAGGCAGUAAAUUGUAUAUUAUUGGAGGAAUGAUACAAACACUCAACUCAACCCAGUACAGUCCCAUAAAAUCCAGUGUUUCACUCUUACACUCGCUCACCCUCUCCUAUCU